AUCGCUUCUUGGCCUUUUGGCUAAGAUCAAGU
rnacentral:snRNA from 1 species